AUGAUAUUCUUUGCCUUCUCUGUCUAUGACAGGAGCCUAGAGAAGCCAUCUAGUACGUACUGUCACCAAGUGGAGAUCACUUCUUGUCGAGAUCGAUCGAGCCUCUUCUCGAGCUCCCUGGUCCCAAUGUGUCAUGUGUUCCUCAACCUCAAUGCACCGUUCCUCUCCCCUUGCAGCCUCCUCUCUAAAACCGAAAGAAGAGAAAGAGCAAGGAUGUACACGCCUGCUGGAAAGUACCUACAACCACGCUGGCUAAGAAGAAUGCCUGAUCCUCCCUGUCUCUCACUUGACGUUCGACUCCCUCUUCCCCAAGCUCGCACCUGCACCUUCUUCUCCCUACCUCUCCUCCUCCCUUAA
rnacentral:rRNA from 1 species